rnacentral:lncRNA from 1 species
UGGACUUCUAACAUCAGCCCCCAGGCUUGCUUACUAGGCUUGGAAAGUUGCCAGGCUGGCACUUGCACAUAUUUCCUAGAGAGCACUCCUUUGUACAUGCCACAGAAGCAAACAAUCGAGAACAAGGAAGACUGUGUAGAGACAGAUAGGAACAAAAUUGAGACAACAGGCAGGACAGUAAGUAGGUUAGUCAUCUAAAAAAAAUCACUAAGUGGCUCACCUCCAAAAUCAAAGGUCUGCUUAUCAUUACACAAAGACUUCUGCCUAAUUAUUUAUCAUAUGGUACAUCAUUAACUCAAAAAAGUCUAAUUGCUUUAUACAAAACCUAAAUCCAAACAAAGGCCUAUUUAUCUACAAAUCUUAGAACAAAAUGAGUUUGCAGUGAGAACUCAGUGAAACAGCAGGGAUCAGAGUGUGAUCAAGCCUAGAUAACUUGGCGGCACACCUGAAGAGUAACUAAAAAGCAGGAUUUGGGCACAAGGUGCCCAGCAAGUGCCACUCCUGACCUGGUGGUCACCCAUGAUGCUGUCAACUGAACAGUGUUCAAAACAAUCUUGAAAAAAAACAAAAACUCCAUAAUUGCCAAAAGACGGAGGCCAUUAUUCAAUGUCUAAAACAAAAUACAAAGGUAACUAUUGCUUAUUAGCAUAAGACCUGUGAGUUGGCCCUGUCCUUCCAAGCAGAACAAAUGGCUGGUUUGAACUCCAAUUCUGAGGAAGUAUGGGGUUUGGGAAUGAUUGCCUCUUAUAAUUGUAAGUAGGUUGGUGUCGUCUAUUGGAGUAUGGUUGUUCAGGUGAAACCACUGUUGAUUGGGUGACACUCACAGGCAUGCUUACUGGAGUGUGCCUGUUCCUCUCUGGCGGCUUUUCACAAGUGAGAGAUCUGCAGUGAGGUUGCCUAUGAAACUGUGUUUACAGAAGUGAGUUGUUGGGUUGAACAGGAUUCUCGGUGGCUACUUGUUAUCAUCACUUCAUAGUUCUAAUGUUUGCAAGAAAUGUCUUAAUUCUCAGGUUCAAGGAGAACACAGCUGCAUGUGGUAGUACACAUCUGUAAGCCCAGCACGCUGCAGGAGGACCCCACAUCUGAUGCUGUUCUCAGCUACAGAGUGAGACCCCCAUCUCAAAACAGAGGAUCGGGGAGAAGGGAAGCAUCAGAAGCUUGACACACAGCAGAAUUUACCACCGGGGGUGCAAGGUCUGUCUUGUUAAGUAGCCUUCAGUGUGAAUGACUGACUUACAUGUAAGGUCGCAUUUUGCAUGAUUAAACCAACAGAAAAAGGAAAAGUGGGUUACUUCCGGAAGAUUUGCAACUGAACGAAGACGGUAUUCAGCACUUAGGAGGCAGAAGCAGGCGGAUCGCUGAGUUCAAGGCCAGCCUGGUCUACAAAGUGAGUGCUACACAGAGAAACCCUGUCUUGAAGAAAAACAAAAACUUCCUCAGAAACAUGGACCUGGACAAGUUCUUCUCCAGGGGAUAUGACUCAAUUGACUAGGUUUCUCUGUGUAGUCCUGGCUGUCCUGGAACUCUCUCUGAAGACCAGACUGUCCUGGAACUCAGUAAUCAGCCUGCUUCUGUUUCCAGAGUGCUGGGAUUAUAGGUAUGCACCACCACACCCAGCCAUGUUUUAGUUAUUUUAAAUAUUUCCUCUUCUAUGUUCAUCUUUCUGAUAAUAAAAUCAUCUUUUAGUCUAAAAGUUUGAGUUAAACUAAUUGUAAUGAG